rnacentral:rRNA from 1 species
UACAGAGGGGGCAAGCGUUGUUCGGAAUUACUGGGCGUAAAGGGCGCGUAGGCGGCCUGCUAAGUCGAACGUGAAAUCCCCGGGCUCAACCCGGGAACUGCGUCCGAUACUGGUUGGCUUGAAUCCGGGAGAGGGAUGCGGAAUUCCAGGUGUAGCGGUGAAAUGCGUAGAUAUCAGGAGGAACACCGAUGGCGAAGGCAGGUCUCUGGGCUGACACUGACGCUCAUGCACGAAAGCGUGGGGAGCAAACAGG